AACGUGUUUUGAAAGUCUGUAAUAUUAACAAUUUUUGUCAAAAUUUGAUUUUAACUCUAAGAAAAAAAAAUACCUUACUCAUUUUUUUUUUUGCUACUAAGUACAACUUGUUAUGAACCUCCUGUUAAAUUUUCAAGUAUUUUUAUUUCGUUUAACAAGUAUAUCCACCGAGAACCAAUAAUUAAAUAUUAUGUUUAAAAAAAAAUAAAAAUUUCUAUAA